UACGGAGGGUGCAAGCGUUAACCGGAUUCACUGGGUUUAAAGGGUGCGUAGGUGGAUUGGUAAGUCAGUGGUGAAAUCUCCGAGCUUAACUUGGAAACUGCCAUUGAUACUAUCAAUCUUGAAUAUUGUGGAGGUCAGCGGAAUAUGUCAUGUAGCGGUGAAAUGCUUAGAUAUGACAUAGAACACCAAUUGCGAAGGCAGCUGGCUACGCAUAUAUUGACGCUGAGGCACGAAAGCGUGGGGAUCAAACAGG
rnacentral:rRNA from 1 species